CCUCUAUCGAGGUGAAGGCUCUCGGUCCAAAACAUCGACUGUCCAUUUCCCUCCACAGGUGCUGCCCGACCCGCUGAGUUCCUCUGGCACCUUGCUCUGUUCUCCAGAUCCCAGCAUCCGCAGUCUCUGUGUCUCCACAGUGAUUCCUGCUUCUGUGCGCUCCGUCCGGUCCCUGUGUAUCUUCUCACCCUGCGGGAUGUUUUCAGCAAGGAUGCCUGUCACCCUGGCCAUACCCUUUUCUCUCUUCUACCUUCAGGGAGAAGAUGCAGGAGCUUGAACGCCCGGACGUCCACAUAAGUGCAGCUUCUUCCCCACCGCUGUCAGACUUCUGACCCAGUCACCUCUCUCACACCCCUUCCCGGUGGCGCUGCCCCGUACUCUUCACUCGAUCUCUCUCGAUUAUUCCCUUGUGGUCACUUUAAUAUAUUUUGAUACAGUACUUCAAAGGGCAAUCUCUGCCCCAGUCUGCGGCUGUUGCGCUCGUCGUUGUAUUUACUGUUGUGCGUAUCAUUAUACCGUUUACUCUGCAAACUUCCUGCGACCGAUGCUUUUCAUGCACCCUGGGACAUAGGACAAGAAUGUAAUAUAAUCAACUUUACCACUUUCCGCCUGACUGACCCUAAUUUAUUUGAACCGUCUCCGGAAUUGACGUUUGACGACUCCACGCCGUUUCCCUGCGGAAGCAAUCCCUGUGUGCGAGUUGCUGCCGGGUGUGCGGUUUCCCUCCUCUGUUCACAAUGUUCCUGCUGUCGGCAUCAAUGAAGAUCCCUUGUUGUGCCACCGACUGUUUAUUCUGAGCCCAGACAUACGCCCCGCCCACCUUCAGCCCACCCAUUGACGCCGCACCUCCAACUCACCUGGCAGGGGAGACGGAGAGCAGCGGGAGGCAACCUGCGAGCUUCAGUGCUCCCCCUUUGUGUGUGGCUGAGGGGCCAGUGAAGCUUCACCUGCCGCUGCAAAUGCAGGUCGGUGCCGGUCUCCAGCGGAUUCAGCAACUAGUGAGAGUGGUGUGCAUCUCUGGCAACAAAAGACAACACCAAGCACCCCUUCCUGAAGGUCUGCACAACAACAAUGAAAAUACAUUCACUGAUGCCACAACUGUAGAAACCCAGAGGUGACGAAGAAGUUUGAUGAGGACAGGCUGGUAAAAGUUGUCCACAUGACUUUUGGCGAGGCCCUGAAAAUGUCCUGCCUGGUCGGCUGAUCUGGAAG